ensembl:lncRNA
UUGCCUAUGUGUGAACAUGCAAGACUUGCAAAAGCUGUUGGCUCGAGUCGGCCUGGCUCAUGUCCCGUUUUCAGUCUGGCUUUACCCCGCUGUUAGAAGACACUUUCGACCACAGAAUAAAUUGUAUCUUAGCUCUCUGCAAAUAGCACAUUUCUAUGGUGGCGUCGCUAACUAUUCUAAAGGUUUGUUUUAGCUCCAUCGAAUACAAAGAGGCACUCAAUAUUAAGUGUUUUGUUCGAACACAAACGUUAAUUUAGAGCUUAAAAUACGAUAUUUAUUUUUAAUAUGCGUUGACAACAAAAACAUUUAGUUUUACUUUGCUUUGACAAAACAAAACCGAGUAAAGCAUAUGUAAAUAUUAGCCUAUUAUUUCAGACACUGCGUCUAGGUUCACAGAAAUGAAGCAAUAAUGCCAUGUGUUACGUUAAAACUAGGCCAGUAGAAUACUGAUGUCUAUAUGAAGAGGCGAGUUACCAUAUAUUUCUCAUUUGAAUGAUUAUCUUCACCAAAAAUAAAACGUUCUGCUGGGCAGGUGUCAUUUUAAUUCUCUGGUUUGGAUUGAUUAUUCAACAAAGAUUGAGAUGUGCAGGUAAACCCACUGAUACAUUUAAUACACUGUUUCUUACAGAGGAAGUGCAAACAUAUUCCAGGAUCUGAUAUAAAUUGGGAGUAGGGACACUAAGAGGUUUUAUGUCUGAGAAUGCAACACUGUGGACGUCUGGUUCUGGCUCCAAGUUCUUAAUGGGAUCUGGAACAAAGUUAAUUGUGCAGACCAAAAAAGAAGAACCGCCUGCCUAUUACAAAUUUAAUGAGUCAUGUUUGGCAACCGACUUCACAAAAUAUGAUGAUGUAAAAUUCCAAGACGUUACACCCGUGCGAUAUGCAGAACGAAGUUACUACAGCAGCUUCACCUUUAAUGCUUCAGAAAACUGCCCGCAGAAAGACUGCAAUCAAGGAUCAUCCAGUCAAAAUGCUGAUUUUGAAACGGGUAAGUGUGCUUUUAUUUGCACAUUAAUAGUCUGCUGUGCAUUUCAUUUAAUUUGCGGUCCAUUACUACUAGUCUGUUACUGCCUGUUGUUUGAACCGAAACAUCCAGCACUGUCAAACAUUAACUGCACUCGCAUAGAUUUCAAAUUGUGAAACUACUAGCUUCGGGAAAAAAAAAAAAAAAACAUUAAACACAUUUAAAAAAAAUACUUGAAAGUGCUGGAUUAUACCACAAAAUCCAUGGUAAAACCAAUAGACAUACUAAUUGCAUUUUUAUUCUGCAGAUGAAAAAACCAACUACAUGUCAAUGGGCCUCUAUUGGCUGAGAAUUCUCUUUCUGAAGACUGUUGUGUUCAAUGUCCUGAUGACUUUCAAAGCAUGGAUGAGCUAACGUGAGUGAAAUGUUAUAUCUUGUGACAGUGGGUCUCAUUCACUAACUGCGUGUUAACACAUUUGUGUGUAAAAACUUUUUCAUACAGAAAUCAAGGUUUAUUAAUAAGUUGCAGGAUAACAUUUAGAACCAACUGAAACCACACAUACAAAAAAAAAACGAUUCCUAGCAGACUGUUUUACAGUCAUUUAACAAAAAUGGUUUGCAAAGUUGCAUAGUUUCUAAAAAUGGUCAAUCACGUGUAGUCUAGG